UACGUAGGGUGCAAGCGUUAAUCGGAAUUACUGGGCGUAAAGCGUGCGCAGGCGGUUCGUUGUGUCCGGUGUGAAAGCCCCGAGCUUAACUUGGGAAUGGCAUUGGAAACUGGCGGGCUGGAGUGUGGCAGAGGGGGGUGGAAUUCCCCGUGUAGCAGUGAAAUGCGUAGAGAUGUGGAGGAACACCGAUGGCGAAGGCAGCCCCCUGGGCCAACACUGACGCUCAGGCACGAAAGCGUGGGGAGCAAACAGG
rnacentral:rRNA from 1 species